rnacentral:lncRNA from 1 species
UUUGAAUGCUCUCCUUCUCACAAACUAUCUCGAAGGUUCCUAAAAACCCUAGCCUCUCUAAUCCUCUCCGACCAUGACCUUGCCGGAAUCCAUGGCUUCUCAAGCCAUACAUGGCGUGUACUCACCUCCACCAUUAAACCCUGGUUAUUCGAAGUUCCGAGGUCUGACCUCGAUGGUGUUCUUUCAAAGCUUCUCAAAUGCAUGGCCUUGAGGCCUCUUCGGCCUCGCUCCGGUGUAUCCUAGCAUCAAGAGCCUAUUUCUGACCUCUCCGACCCAAGAUCAGACUUUUUUUCAAGCCUUUCUCAUUUCUCGGGUUUCUGUGAGACCCUAAGCUAUUCGAGUUUUUUCUCU